UAGUCAUAUGCUUGUCUCAAAGAUUAAGCCAUGCAUGUCUAAGUAUAAACAUCUUUAUACUGUGAAACUGCGUACAGCUCAUUAUAUCAGUAAUAAUUUAUUUGAUGGUACUUUACUACACGGAUAACUGUGGUAAUUCUAGAGCUAAUACGUGCGUAAAGUCCCAACUUCGGUUUCGGCUGAGGAAGGGAUGUACUUAUUAGAUAAAAAACCAAUGCGUCGCUCUCGGGCGGCGGUUUUGUGUUGAUUCAUAGUAAUUUUUCGAAUCGCAUGGCGC
rnacentral:rRNA from 1 species